UGAUAAAAUAAACGUGGGCAUCGCGGGACGGCCGAUAAGAGCGAAGCUCAAGUCAUAAUGCGUAAAUUUACAGUUUAGAAUUGAUUUAGUAAUUUCAUGGUAUAAUAUUGAAAAUGAAAAUAAAAUGGUCAAUAUCAGAGAAAUUAUAUUUAUUGCUAUAAAUAAAUACGGCGAGAUUGUCUUUUGUCGCGAACGUUCUCGUACACACGAUCGACGCGAAAUUUCAUGGGAGACAAAUAGCGGAGAGGGGCCCGAGUAUUGGAGUCGAUGCUACGCGCCAUCAAGAAAAUCAGAGAGAGCAUCAAAAAUCCAAGAUGGAAAAAAUGGAUUGUAGCCAAGGAAAUAGUGAUAUGACCGAAAAUAUAGAGCCGAAUAUAAAUCAGGGGAACACCAAGUCGGCCAAAGAAAGAAAUAGAAAAACCUCCGGAGGGUAAUAACGAAUUUGAAAAAGUACUAGUAACAUAUAAGAAACAAAUCGCUGAUCUCAAAAAAGAAAUAAAGAGAUUGAAAUACAGCAGAGGGGCAAGAGGAGGAAGAGGCAG